AAUCUGACUGGAGAAAAUGGUGAAGAAAUAUACAAUGUCGUUGCAAGGUCAAGCAAUCUUAGAAUACAAGUUUGGUGUGCAAUGUGAAUCUGUGCAGGAUAGAUGUACAGUAGCCUGCCUGCCGGAUAACUUAUCAGAAAGCAGCACCUCAAUGGGAAAACCACUGGUAAUUGAAGCUGGUUGAGCGCCAUGACAUCUCUCGUAAACAAGCAACGUUAUGGACAAGGAUCACGUUGACCAAGUUCAAAUGUCUUGAACACGGUAGGCCCCCUUCCAUUCUGACUGGAAAAGACAUCUAUCAUCUAUGCUUUGGUUCACCAGUUACAUCCUCAGAUGAUUCAGUACAUGCAGGACAUUGUAAACAUGGAGAAUAUCAAGAAGAACUGAGUGGUGCC